AAGUUUUCUUUAUUGGGGUUGCGGACAUAUCAUAACGAAGAGGUAUCGUAAUUGAAGAGGUUUGGAAAGACCCACCACAGAAGGUAAUAGUCCUGUAUGUUAAACGAGAAGACUUUAGAUAUGAUCCAGAGUACCACGGGACACGUGAAACCCUGUGGGAAGCAGGAGGGACCACCCUCCAAGGCUAAAUACUACCUAGUGACCGAUAGCGUAUAGUACCGUGAGGGAAAGGUGAAAAGAACC
rnacentral:rRNA from 1 species